rnacentral:lncRNA from 1 species
GGGUCGAUGUCGAGGUCGAUGACGAUGACAGAAGGUGGAGGUCGAUCGAUGGUGAAGACGACGAAUGAUGGUGGAGGUCGAUCGAUGGUGAAGAGUGAAGACGACGAGUGAUGGUCAAUCGGUGUUUUGCGCUGCAGUUUUGGCCGCCAUUGUUGUCGAGAGAGAGAGAAAGAUUAGGUUUGUUGUUGUGAUGGUGGAGGUCGAUCGAUGGUGAAGAGUGAAGACGACGAGUGAUGGUCAAUCGGUGUUUUGCGCUGCAGUUUUGGCCGCCAUUGUUGUCGAGAGAGAGAGAAAGAUUAGGUUUGUUGAUUUAUUUGUUGGUUUUUAUACUUGCCUCAGGAAUUAUUUUCCUGCUUUUUUCAGGCAAAUGGGAGCACGUGACCAUCUCGGGCAAAAUUUGCCGAAUAUUUGCCCGAUGGCCUAAAACGUUA